CCUUCAACUAGCACUCCUGUCCUCACCUAUCUGGAUCCCUCCUCCACGCCACCGUCAUUACCGGCUGCCGCCUUUGCCAUAGCCACUCCCCUCGCUGUCGCUAUCAGAUUUGAGAGUGGCAAUACCGCCGCCGUGCAUAGUUUCUUCGCGGCAAAAUCAGCAACUAGGCACAGUCUCUCUUUCGUUCUCUUUCAUUGGAUUUGCUUUCUGAACAGCUGGGGCUGCUUUUCAUUUUGUUCAGCCUCUUCAAAUCAAAGCUUUUAG